GACGAACGCUGGCGGCGUGCUUAACACAUGCAAGUCGAACGGAAAGGCCUCUUUCGGGGGGUACUCGAGUGGCGAACGGGUGAGUAACACGUGAGUAACCUGCCCUUGACUUUGGGAUAACUUCAGGAAACUGGGGCUAAUACCGGAUAGGAGCUCCUGCUGCAUGGUGGGGGUUGGAAAGUUUCGGCGGGUGGGGAUGGACUCGCGGCUUAUCAGCUUGUUGGUGGGGUAGUGGCUUACCAAGGCCUUGACGGGUAGCCGGCCUGAGAGGGUGACCGGCCACAUUGGGACUGAGAUACGGCCCAGACUCCUACGGGAGGCAGCAGUGGGGAAUAUUGCACAAUGGGUGGAAGCCUGAUGCAGCAACGCCGUGUGCGGGAUGACGGCCUUCGGGUUGUAAACCGCUUUCGCUCAUGACGAAGCUUUGUGUGACGGUAGUGGGUAAAGAAGCACCGGCUAACUACGUG
rnacentral:rRNA from 1 species